CUUUAACAAUCUGGAACAAGCUGAAAAAUUGAAACAACGGAUAAUUGAAAUGAUUAUUCGUGAGUCUCUCAAAUAAUCGCGGCGCGAGGGUGAUUCGACAGAAACAUCUUCGG
rnacentral:sRNA from 1 species